GCGAGAACUGCACCUGUAUGAAUAGGAUUAAGUAGUAAAAAAGCUGGUUUGAGGUAUUGUCAUAGCACAGAAGUACUAACACAGGUAUUGUCACAAGAUUAGGAACCAUCAAGAAAGAUCACCAAAGGCACUCAAGUUCAUUGAACCAGAAUUAAAAUGCCCUUAACUGUUUCAUGCUCGAAAGUCACAAGGGCUAUGUUAUACUCUCAGAAAGAGAUAACAGUAUAGAUUUUCU